UGGUUUCAAGAUAUAUGUGAUAUAUACGAGAAGCUUCAUUUGCUGAAGACACGGAGAGAGACAGACAGACAUCAAUACUCAUGUACAUUUCAAGGAACUGCUCUGGUGUGGUUUUAAGAUAUAUGUGUCUAUAUAAAUACCAGCAGAGAACCUUUAUUUGCUACUUCUGGAAGAGGGCUGAAGACAGAGAGAGAGAGAGAGAGACAAACAUCAAUACUCAUUGAACCGUCAAUCAAUAAAGAAACAAGAGAGCACACCAUGACAGAGACGAGAGAAACAUGCAGGGGAACUGCAGAAGAGUUUAGAAAAGAAACAAAGAAACCAGAUCAAACAGAAAAAGCAAUGAUUACAGGCUCAAAAAUACUCUUUGACAGACUUCAUCUUGAAGGCAGAAAUGAUCAUAAACUGAGAGCUGCAGAUGUUCUUCAGAUAAGCAAACAUUCAUUACAGUCCAAUGAGUCUUGUGCUGAAGAGGAGCUGAUUCAGACUUUCAUACAAAAACUACUUAUGAUGGACUACAGAGCAAGAUACAUUACUGUUAGAGAUCCCAAUGAACAAGAUCAGAUACAACAAA